rnacentral:lncRNA from 1 species
AAAACACGUUUUUAAACCUAGGAAAAAAAAAAAGAAAAAAAGACGGGACAAUUGUUCAUCAAUUAAACACCCCAAACCCUUAUUUUUUCCCCCAAUGUCGAAUUCCUCAUGCCUUUCUUCUCGUCGCCAGCAAGUAGCCUCCAAAUAGGAAAUCAACACAUCCAAACACCGAAGAUCGCAGCUGGAAAAUCGCGAGCCCAGAAACUCCAAAAUAGCAAGACCCGUCAGUGGCCGAUUUCGUGACCCGUUCGUGGCUGAGUUCGCGAACAUAGGUAGCUUUGAGCAUGAAUCUACAGGUAUUUGUUUAUUCUUUUAGACUCACAAACAUUCAAAUAUAUAUUAUUUGUUUUUUUUUUUUAUUAAUGAAGGAGAUUUGCAUGCCAUUUUAUCCCCAGUAGUAACCUGUAACUUAUUCAUCAUUAUCUAUAUUGAAAAUCAUUUUGUCCCAAAUUCACAACCUGCAUCUAUCUGUAGUUUAUUUUGCCUGUUAGAUUGGAAUGGUUCAACCUUUGUUGUAGUUAGUUGUAGUUAGUGUAUCUGUACUUUAUGGAUAUGUGAAUUUAUGUAUUUGUUUUUAUGAUUGCAAAUGAAGAACCCGACUUCAAUGACUUGGACUACGAUGUAUAUGAUGAUGAUGAUUGCCAAUUUGAUCGUAAUGUGAUCGAAGGCAUUGAAAUGGGUAUGCAUAUUGUGGAACACAAAGAACGCCAAGAAUUAGAUAGCUCUUCGUAUGCAUCGUCAGAGGAGUUAAGGCCGAGGUUGGUUUGCCGUUUUCGGCCCAUUUUUCGUUUUCCGUUUUCGAAAACGCAAAAAACGUGUUUAGUUCGUCGUUUUCGAAAACGCAUUUUCGAAAACAAGUUAAAAUUUAUAACUGAAAACGUAAAAUGACUUUUUAGCAUUUUCAGUGUUUUCAGUUAUAAAUGUCGAAAACACUCAAAACGCCGAAAACGGGCCAUUUUCGAGAAAAAAUAAAAAUCGUUUUGAAAAUGAAAAUAAAAAAUAAAAAUGGAAACCAACCGCACCCUAAUCUUCUUAAGUGGUUUGGAUUCCGAGGGAAAUAGUGGUAAAUCCAAUUUUCCAGAAUAUUUUGCUGGUACUUGCUUCAUAUUAGCAAUAUUGUUACACUAAGCUGUGCAAGCAUAUAAUUUACUACUAUGAUGCAUGAUAAACCCUCAGCAUGUUAUAUUUUGGAGAAAAUUAAAUUAUCAUUAUUUCUCUUUAUUGUCAUUAUUUGGAGAGCCAAUUGGGCACCAAAUUUAAAUUAUAGAGGAGAUGUUGUCGAAGUUUCGACAAAUUACAUGCAGUAUCUAACUUUUGAGACAAUUUGUAAGUCAUCGUUUAUUUAGGCUCGCAAGCAAAUUUUCUGAGGCUGUUUGUAAGUCCUCACUUAUUGAAGUGAUUUAUAUUCUUAAGGCAAUUCGCAUAUCCUUGCUUAUUUAGAAUCGAUUAAUAUCUUUGAAGCAGUUUGUAAGCCCUAAUUUAUUAAGUUGUGAUAUUUUUGAGGCAAUUUGUAAGACCUCAUUUACUUUGCAUGUGCUUAACGAUGGGGCCUCACAGUGGCAAACUUGAUGUUUAUUAUUCAAUUGGAUUAGGCCUAUUAAUUUAAGCAACAUCUUGCAACUUUAUGUUAGACCUGAAUUUGAGCCCAUUUCAUUAGCACUCACUUGGACCGUUUCAUUUCUCUAUAUAUAAGUGAGUUCAUUCACAAUAAACGGUAUGUGUUAUUCUAACCAUAGCCAAACCCAUUCUCCCAUCUCUUACACUCAUUUUUCUUUCGUUC